UACAGAGGGUGCGAGCGUUGUCCGGAAUCACUGGGCGUAAAGGGCGUGUAGGCGGUCAGUUAAGUCUGAUGUGAAAGCCCGGGGCUCACCCCCCGGAAGUGCAUUGGAAACUGGCGGACUCGAGUCCCGGAGAGGAGGGUGGAAUUCCUGGUGUAGCGGUGAAAUGCGUAGAUAUCAGGAGGAACACCGGUGGCGAAGGCGGCUUGCUGGGCCAGUUCGUGACGCUGAGGAGCGAAAGCGUGGGGAGCGAACAGG
rnacentral:rRNA from 1 species